rnacentral:lncRNA from 1 species
CACUCAGAGAGAAACAAUGCAUUUUAUCAUAGGGCCGGACAGCUACAUGCACAAGAUGCUACCUGCAGAGAUUGGUUUUUGCCCGGAUGUGCAGGAGAGAUGCACAGAGAGGAAGAAAUGCAUACAUGUGUGCAGGUUUUGGCAUGUGCACAAGAAGCCUGGAAGGAUUUUCUUUGGAUCUACAGUCAAAAUGGAUUUCCAAGAAGAAGCUGUCUGAACACACACCUCUUCCCUGUGCUACAUACGGCCCCAUCUCUGCCAGCCGGGUUGUCAGGAAAGUGAUCAGCACUGGCUUCAACUCUGGCUAGAGCUCUUUGGCCAAUGUGAUGGGCAGAAAACUGGAAUGAGGACAGAAAAGCACCUCAGAGGUUUGAAGAGUCGAGUCUCUCACCACCUUGCUAUAGGUUUUCUGAAUACUUCUGAGUGUAGGAGCAUGUUUUCUCAACAGGCAAGUCAGGACCUGCUAAGAUAAAUCAUGGCAGUAAGCUCAAGCCAGUGUUAGUAUUUACCAUUGAUCGGCCACCAAGUGCUUGCUAUGUGCCAUGCCUUGUGCUAAGCACUAUCUCAUUUAAUAUUUACAGCAGUCUUAUGAGGUAGAUGCUACUGUUAUCUCCAUUUUACAGAUGGGGAAACCGAGGCACAAAGUUCCACAGCUGGUGACUUGCGGAAUAGGAAUUCAACCACUGGAGAGUCUGGCUGGAGUUUUUUUGUGGCAGGAGAAACUAUGCUGUUGAAAUUUGCCUUGGGUAACCAUCAUGGUGGUCACAAAACCACUUCUACGGCUUGCCUUGACCUAGCAGGAAUGAAGAUAUAAAGAAAGAAUGAGCGCAUCGUGGUUAUGAUGGGAUGAUGAUGAUGUCUGUUGUGUUGUAUGGUGUCAGUUUCUGUAAUGCCUUUCUAUUUCAAUCAAGGCUAUUAUCUUUUCCUCUCUUUUAGUGAAGUUUCCUAGAAGUAGAAAAUGGGAGUGUAUGAGGCAUCUCAGAGUUUUCAGCUGAACUGAAGGGUCUGAUGGUAAUUUUACCCCCAAAUCCCUGAGAGAAAAGUAGGGAGUCCCUGCUUCAGCUCUGCUCAGAAGAGCCCCCCGCACAUGGUGGUUUCUGUGUCACUAGACUGGUUAGGUUAACCAAAUGCGUCUUCUAAAUACCCAACUUUUAAUAGAAAACUUCUGUGGCUUGGAUUAUUAAAGUCAUAACAUGCUUAUUUAAUUGUGUUUCAAGUCCAUCUAUCUUUUUUGAGUCUAAGGAAGACUCACUCGAUCAGAAGGAGUAGAGGGAAGAAGAUUAACACAUGAUUUUCUUUUUCCCCUUUUUCUUUUAACUUAGCCUGAGACUUAUUUGAAUGCCUGUUUCAUAUGGAGCUUUUAAGUAUAACAGUUGUGAGUGAAAUUGCCCCUUUUAUUUUCAAGCGCUCCGAGUUUGCUUCUGGAUGGAAGGGGAAGAUGGACUAGAGCUGAUACCCCCUGCACUCUGGUGAAGAAAUGCACCCUAAGGCCAGAAAAUAGUACAAACCCAUCUGGCUGCAACAGCCCAGCAGCAUGAAUAUCAAAGUCACGUAGUAGAGCCAGAGAGAAAUUUGCCCUGGGCCUAAUAUUCAGAAGGCUUUCCAAUUCAGACUCGAUGUUAUUGCCAAGUCAGUGUGUUUGGGAGAAAUCAGAAGCCAACACACUAGAAAAGUUGCAGGAGAUUCCUAGGGAACCCACAAAGUCAGUUCCUUGCCAGAAACCUGCUCCUCCAGAUGAAUCCAGUGCAUCGGGUGGGCUCAGAUGCACAGGUGGUGCAGGCAGACCUCUACUGAGAAGAACAACAGUGGAAGGCAGAUGAAACUCCCAUUUUGGAGUCUGAGAGCCAUGCGGGCCCACCCCAGUUACGUCUACCCCUGGUCAGUGACCAGAGAAUCCUUUAGCAGCAACAGCAGGGAUGUUUAUUUCACUGGUAUGUAUAAAGCGACUGAUUGAAAACAAGCUGUACGCCCAACAACUUGGAACUGAUUAAAUGAUUUUUGGUUCAGCCGCACAGUGGAAUAUCAUGCGGCCAUUAAGAAUAAAUCAAAAAUCCUAUACUUUCCAUAUUCAACUUUAGACUGCAAACAACUGAACAACACCUUCAUAAUUAGGCUUCCUCAGAUUAGAACGUGAAGUCAAGUCAACGUGUGUCAGAAUGUUAACAGCAGCUAACUCUUGGUUGUGCUGUUAUGAGUAACUUGUAUUAUUUUUCAGUUUUUUUUCCCAUUCCUAAUGUGCAAAUGUACUAUUUUUAUUGUAAAAAAAUACACAUUUGUAAAGAGCAAUAACAUAAAUCUCUGCACAGGAAAAUUGGAAGGAAAUCA